GACGAACGCUGGCGGCGUGCUUAACACAUGCAAGUCGAACGGAAAGGCCCUGCUUUUGUGGGGUGCUCGAGUGGCGAACGGGUGAGUAACACGUGAGUAACCUGCCCUUGACUUUGGGAUAACUUCAGGAAACUGGGGCUAAUACCGGAUAGGAGCUCCUGCUGCAUGGUGGGGGUUGGAAAGUUUCGGCGGGUGGGGAUGGACUCGCGGCUUAUCCGCUUGUUGGUGGGGUAGUGGCUUACCAAGGCUUUGACGGGUAGCCGGCCUGAGAGGGUGACCGGCGACAUUGGGACUGAGAUACGGCCCAGACUCCUACGGGAGGCAGCAGUGGGGAACAUUGCACAAUGGGCGGAAGCCUGAUGCAGCAACGCCGCGUGCGGGAUGACGGCCUUCGGGUUGUAAAACGCUUUCGCCUGUGACGAAGCGUGAGUGACGGUAAUGGGUAAAGAAGCACCGGCUAACUACGUG
rnacentral:rRNA from 1 species